AGUGAACGCUGGCGGCAGGCCUAACACAUGCAAGUCGAACGGCAGCACAGAGGAGCUUGCUCCUUGGGUGGCGAGUGGCGGACGGGUGAGGAAUGCGUCGGAAUCUGCCUUUUUGUGGGGGAUAACGUAGGGAAACUUACGCUAAUACCGCAUACGACCUACGGGCGAAAGUGGGGGACCGCAAGGCCUCACGCAGAAAGAUGAGCCGACGCCGGAUUAGCUAGUUGGCGGGGUAAAGGCCCACCAAGGCGACGAUCCGUAGCUGGUCUGAGAGGAUGAUCAGCCACACUGGGACUGAGACACGGCCCAGACUCCUACGGGAGGCAGCAGUGGGGAAUAUUGGACAAUGGGCGCAAGCCUGAUCCAGCCAUGCCGCGUGUGUGAAGAAGGCCUUCGGGUUGUAAAGCACUUUUGUCCGGAAAGAAAUCCUUUCGAUUAAUACUCGGGAGGGAUGACGGUACCGGAAGAAUAAGCACCGGCUAACUUCGUGCCAGCCGCCGCAGUAAGAC
rnacentral:rRNA from 1 species